UACCUUUAUUUUCUCGUUAGUCACACGUUCCAUUUUCUCUGUAUGACAAUGAAUGGAGAAUGAGUUAUAUUGAGAAUGGUAUAAGUUGAUGCCAAUGUGUACGAGUGGGAGAUGUUGCAUUUAAAUGUGGUGCAUCCACAUAACAUGCAACUUUAUUAGUUAUUUGUGGAUAAUUAACUAAUAUUCAAUUUAUUAAUAUUAUAUAUUAUUUUGAUAUAACUUAAUUGAAUAAUUAAUAAAAAAUGUUUGAGAUAGGAUAAAUUUAAAUUUAAUUUGUUUAAAUUUAAAUUAUCUAUCCAUUGUAUUUAAAUUUAAUUUGUUUAAUUUUAAAUAUAAUAUUUUAUAUCUAUAUCCCUAAUACAUUUAUAAAUAGUGAAUAGACGUACUAGUUUUAACACACAGUCAAAGAGUGAAUGCGAAUUCUUUUGUAAGUCAAAAAAAUAAAAAAAUCUUUUUUCUCUUUUUUUCUUUCUUUUCAUUCUUGAGAUACCAUCAAAGAUUAAAAAGUUUUGAAACAUAUAAUUCUUUGUAAAGAACUUUAAUAACUGCUUCAUAACAUCGAGAGUAAAAAAAUUAUUGUACACAAAUGAAAAUUUGUAAAGUAAACUUCUUCUAUCCGAAAGAGAAUAAAAUAUUCUAUUGAAAAAGUAAAUCCACGUUCCAACAGCAAUCGUAUCUUUUCCUUACAAUGUGUUGAUGAACCUGUACUCAGUGACUGCAGAAUAUGACAAGAUUGACAUAUGGGUUCAAGAAAUGGAAAGGAAUGGAAUUCCACAAGAUAAGUACACGAUGAGAAACAGAACGGCUGCUGCUGUUGCAGCAUCUGACAUAUCUGAGAUGGAAAGGAUCUUGAAUUAGAUCUAAGACAACUCAAAUUUAUUGGUUGAAUGGAAAGAAUAUUCAAUUGCAGCAAGUGGGUAUCUGAAUGUUGGGAUGAUGGAGAAAGCUUUGCUGAUGCUAAAGAAGAUGGAGAAUGUGAUGCCCCUUCAAAGAAGGAAACUAGCAUUUGAGUUUCUUCUCAAUCUUUAUGCAAAAACUAACAAUAAAAAUGAACUUUACAGAAUUUGGAACACAUACAAGCCAUCAGAUGCACUAGUGGAUACAUCAUAUUGCCACAUGAUUACUGCUCUAGCGAAGCUGGAUGAUCAUGAUGGAGCUGAGAAGAUAUUUGGGGAGUGGGAGUUACAGUGCACCAUUUAUGAUUUACGGGUAUUAAAUAGGCUUCUGGUUCCUUAUUGCAAUAAGGGCCUUCUUGAUCAGGCUAAUUCAGUUGUAAACAAGGCUGUGGAAGGAAGAACGCCAUAUGCCAGCACAUGGAAUGUUUGAGCUAUGGGGUUUAUGGAGCAUAAUCAGAUGCCCAAGGCAGUUGAGAUGUUGAAGAAGGCAAUGUCCGUUGGAACAAGAGGGUGGAGGCCAAGGUCCAUGGUAUUUGCAGCCUGUCUGGAUUACUUGGAAGAGCAAGGAGAUGGAAGAGGAAUGGAGGAGAUGAUAUGUUUAUUGAAGAACUCAGGGCCUUUGACAAGGGAUAUGGAUUAUAGAUUGCUGAGGUGUCGCAUCCAGACAGUUUCUGAGAUUGUUGAUCAGAUGAAAGUGGAUGGUUUUGAUGCUGACAAAGAAAC
rnacentral:lncRNA from 1 species